rnacentral:rRNA from 1 species
UACGUAGGGGGCAAGCGUUAUCCGGAUUUACUGGGUGUAAAGGGAGCGUAGACGGAAUUGCAAGUCUGAUGUGAAAAUCCGGGGCCCAACCCCGGAGCUGCAUUGGAAACUGUAUUUCUAGAGUGUCGGAGAGGCAAGUGGAAUUCCUGGUGUAGCGGUGAAAUGCGUAGAUAUCAGGAGGAACACCAGUGGCGAAGGCGGCUUGCUGGACGAUGACUGACGUUGAGGCUCGAAAGCGUGGGGAGCAAACAGG